rnacentral:rRNA from 1 species
UACGUAGGUGGCAAGCGUUGUCCGGAAUCACUGGGCGUAAAGGGCGCGUAGGUGGCGCCGCAAGUCCAUGGUGAAAGCUCGAUGCUCAACAUCGAGUCGGCCACGGAGACUGCGGGGCUCGAGCACUGUAGGGGCAGAUGGAAUUCCGGGUGUGGCGGUGGAAUGCGUAGAGAUGUGGAGGAACACCUGUGGCGAAGGCGCCUUGCUGGCCGAUUUCUGACGCUGAGGCGCGAAAGCGUGGGGAGCAAACAGG